rnacentral:rRNA from 1 species
AUUGAACGCUGGCGGCAUGCCUUACACAUGCAAGUCGAACGGUAACGGGCCUUCGGGUGCCGACGAGUGGUGAACGGGUGAGUAAUACAUCGGAACGUGCCCGAUCGUGGGGGAUAACGAGGCGAAAGCUUUGCUAAUACCGCAUACGAUCUACGGAUGAAAGCAGGGGACCGCAAGGCCUUGCGCGGACGGAGCGGCCGAUGGCAGAUUAGGUAGUUGGUGGGAUAAAAGCUUACCAAGCCGACGAUCUGUAGCUGGUCUGAGAGGAUGAUCAGCCACACUGGGACUGAGACACGGCCCAGACUCCUACGGGAGGCAGCAGUGGGGAAUUUUGGACAAUGGGCGCAAGCCUGAUCCAGCCAUGCCGCGUGCAGGAUGAAGGCCUUCGGGUUGUAAACUGCUUUUGUACGGAACGAAAAGCCUUCUUUUAAUACAGGAGGGUCAUGACGGUACCGUAAGAAUAAGCACCGGCUAACUACGUG